AAGAAUGGAAGAAACAUUUUACCAUCUAGUUUCCUGGACCAAUUGGUUUCUGAUUUUAGUUUAGUGAGUCAAGGAACUCGCCAGGUGUAAUCUUCUUCAGCAGGACAACUUAGGGUUAAACGUAUACACACGGCGAUC